UGUGUAAGCGCAGCGAUGCGUUGAGCUAACCGGUACUAAUGAACCGUGAGGCUUAACCUUACAACGCCGAAGC
rnacentral:rRNA from 9 species